AACGCACAUUGCGCCCCCCCAGUAUUCUGGAGGGCAUGCCUGUUCGAGCGUCAUUUCAACCAUCAAGCCCCGGGCUUGUGUUGGGGACCUGCGGCUGCCGCAGGCCCCGAAAAGCAGUGGCGGGCUCGCUGUCACACCGAGCGUAGUAGCAAUCACCUCGCUCAGGGCGUGCUGCGGGUGCCGGCCGUUAAACCCCCUUAACUUCUAAGGUUGACCUCGGAUCAGGUAGGAGUUACCCGCUGAACUUAA
rnacentral:misc_RNA from 1 species